GCUCUGCCUCUGGUGUGAGCCCUGCUCUGGGAUGCUUCAAGAGUUUGGCUUCCCAGGAAAAGAGAACUCAGCAUAAAUACAUGCAAAUCUUCAGCUGCCUCCACCCCUGGUGCUGGAGGACAAGACCCUGUCGCACAUCCCUGUCAAGGCUGGACAACUCUUCUAGCCCGUCUACGCUCAGGAUACUUAAGAAAUGCAAGGACUCUGCUCUUCCAGGCUCACGCCGUCCCAACUUGAGCUAUUUCAUCCCUCUUCAGCUUCCACCCCAGCCAUUGCCCUUUUGGGUUCUGCCUCAUUAAAGUCAGAGUUCAGUCUCUCCCCAGGGCUUCUGCUGAUUUUCCUCGCAAACAGCUUCCUGGCUCCCAGGCCAGCAGUAUAAAACCUGAGCACAUUUCAUUCCUAAAUUAGGGUUACAUAAGUAGGGGGAAAACAACGCAAUCAAAAGUGAGUGAUGAGAAGGCAGAGCCAGCUAUUUUUGCCACGCGCUCCAGGUGGACGAGGGACUUGCCUCGUGAUAUAUGGAAAUGCCACCUCCCAGGCUGCAGAGCAGAAUCAGUGACAUGGAGACUCAGCUGCUCCGGGUCUGAGCUGAAUGUGGGUCUUGAGGAAGCAUUUCUCCAUGUUGCAGUGUUGGUGUUGCCAGUCCCAACUUGGAGGGUGAGGCUCCAGACUGCAGAUGUGUACUGCAGCGAUAUAUAGCUCUGGAGCUGGCAGGAAUGGUGCAAAUGUGGCUGUGAGGAUCUUCCACCAUCUCCCUGCCCAUCCUUCCAGGGACAUGGUAAUUCCCCCUGGGGCUCGGGUGUUUUCACCAGAACCCUUGCUGAGCUUUAGCGCACAAAACCAGCUUCUGCCUUCCUCCUGCAUCCUGCACUCUCCUUCGCCCCUGCAGAAAGCUGCUUGGCGGCCACGAAAGCAGCUGGCAGCGCUGUGUAGAAAGGCAGGUUGGGGGAACGGGGCCCUUCCAGUUCCGAAUAUCUACUUUGGCUGAGCUAGUUCCUUAUUUCUGUGUUAAAGAGGUAUUUUCCUUACGUGCUAAAUGCGAUUGGGGAGCUCCUUGCUGCUGCAAGGCUCCUUGUUGGCUCUGCAGCUCUGGUGAAAUGGUUGCAGAGCACUGGGAGGGCUCAGCUCGGCCAAGCAAGGGUACGGCAAGGUUGUGCUGCAGCAGCGCUCACCCAGAUAGCAUCUUGUAUUUUAAAAAUACAUCAGUUGAUAAAAACUUCUGCAUCAGCGCUCUCAUAAAUGUCCUUCCCAUAUUACAAACACAAAGUUUAGGAGAAAGUCAGAAAUGUGAAGACAGAACAGCAGUAAUUUGGAAAGAAGCAGGUAAUUAAAUAACAUUCCCUUCUGGUGAGGAGGGUGAAUGAAACCAAAGAGCAAAGACCAGCACCUGAAGAAAAUCCCCUGAUUCAUGUUAUCAGCACAUCUUCUGUUGUGGGCAGGUUUUCUCUCGGUUAAGCCUUUCCAAGCCAAAUCCCCUGCAGUUCAGAGGCUUUUAACAACCGUGUGGAAAAGGCUGGGCCAUUCACCAGCACUCCUGCAUGAGGCCCGGCGGGCAGCGGGGACUUUCUACACAAUUUUGAAUCAGUAUUUCAAAGCUCGGCGUUUCGGUGGGUUUAGUCUCCACAGGGAAUUGCAGGACGGACAACAAAAGGCCGAGAAGGGACCAGCAGGGAAGUGGUAAGUACAGGCUUCCCGCGGCUUCUGUGGCUGAGUGGAAACCUCUGCAGAGAGCUUCAGAGAUGGGGACGAGAGCGGAAAAGCAGAGUCCUUGCCCAGAAAGAGAGUGGCCCCUGCUCUGCCUCAGUUUCCCCCAUGGAACAACCCUCUCCAGGCCACCCUACAACUAACCCGUUUGAAAAGGCUUCUCCAUGACGACAGAAGCCAUACAAACACCCGCAAGCAUGUCGUGUCUGUGGAUUUCUCAUUAAAAAUCCUCAGAGGUUCACGGAUAAAAUCCACACAUAAGACUGAAAUUUAAUUACACAAAAGUACUUUGAAGCGGAGAUUUGCAGCAACUGCUGUGAGAAACUUAAAUUCCAGUAACACAAGAGUGAUAAAUGCUGUAUCAUUGAAAGUAACAGGAAAAACAAAUCAUCUAAGCUAUCAUAUUAAAAGGCAUAUUGAAAAGCAAGAUAUGCCAGCAAAACCCAGUGUGGCCAGUCAUUCUUUGCGUACUGACCAACAUUAGCAUCUCGAAACUUUUAAAUCUUCAAAGCAAGAUGAUUUAUGGCAGCUGUUCCUUAUCACUCAGGCUUGUAAGUGCUGUGGCACCAGAGCAGCCGGGCUGCAAGGGGAACGUGGAUGGGCGGCAUCGCUGGGGCUGCGCCGUGGGGCCAGGCCCUUCUCAGCCCUGUCAGCGCACGCUGUUUUAGAGCGGAUGGGGCUUAUUUAGAAAACAGCUAUUCAAUAUUUUGUUAUCUUAUAUCCCCAACCUUAUUUUCAACUAUUCAUCCUUUGCUCUGACAGCUGAAACGAUUCGUUUCUCCAUGGAUUUUUCCAUAACACCCUUCACUGUCAAAUCUGCUUCAGAAACGCUCGUGAGCACC